UUGGAGGGCAAGUCUGGUGCCAGCAGCCGCGGUAAUUCCAGCUCCAAUAGCGUAUAUUAAAGUUGUUGCAGUUAAAAAGCUCGUAGUUGAAUUUCGGGAUUGACACAUCGGUCGUGCCUUAAGGGGUAUGAACUGGUGUAGUCAAUUUCUCACCUUCUGGAGAACCACGAUGCCCUUAAUUGGGUGUCGCGGGGAACCAGGACCUUUACUUUGAAAAAAUUAGAGUGUUUAAAGCAGGCAUUUUGCUUGAAUACAUUAGCGUGGAAUAAUAAAAUAGGACGGCAUGAUUCUAUUUUGUUGGUUUCUAGGAUCACCGUAAUGAUUAAUAGGGAUAGUUGGGGGCAUUAGUAUUCAAUUGUCAGAGGUGAAAUUCUUGGAUUUAUUGAAGACUAACUACUGCGAAAGCAUUUGCCAAGGAUGUUUUCAUUAAUCAAGAACGAAAGUUAGGGGAUCGAAGACGAUCAGAUACCGUCGUAGUCUUAACCAUAAACUAUGCCGACUAGGAAUCAGACGAUGUUAAAUUUUUAAUGACUCGUUUGGCACCUUACGGGAAACCAAAGUGUUUGGGUUC
rnacentral:rRNA from 1 species